rnacentral:rRNA from 1 species
AGAGUUUGAUCAUGGCUCAGAAUCAACGCUGGCGGCGUGCCUAACACAUGCAAGUCGAACGCGAAAGUCCCGCAAGGGAUCAGUAGAGUGGCAAACGGGUGAGUAACGCGUGGGCGACCUACCUUCGAGUGGGGGAUAACCUUCCGAAAGGAGGGCUAAUACCGCAUAACAUUCCGUGUUUGGACACACGGGUAUCAAAGCCGGGGAUCGCAAGACCUGGCACUUGAAGAGGGGCCCGCGUCCGAUUAGCUAGUUGGUGGGGUAAUGGCUCACCAAGGCUCCGAUCGGUAUCCGGCCUGAGAGGGCGGACGGACACACUGGGACUGAGACACGGCCCAGACUCCUACGGGAGGCAGCAGUGGGGAAUUGUUCGCAAUGGGCGCAAGCCUGACGACGCAACGCCACGUGGAGGAUGAAGACCUUCGGGUCGUAAACUCCUUUCGACCGAGAUGAAUUCCCGCCGGCCUAACAUGCCGGCGGGGUGACAGUAUCGAGGGAAGCAGCCCCGGCUAACUCCGUGCCAGCAGCCGCGGUAAUAC